GCAAUAGAUAGAUAGAUAUUUAUGUUAUCUAAGAUGCUUCCUUUCUCCUCAUCACCAUCUUGUUCCUUCCUUCAUUUCUGAAAAAGCCCCUUCAUCACCAUGACUCCAUUCUUCAAAAUCACCAUUUGAUUCCUUUGUCUUCAAAUCGAGAGUAAAAGGCCUUCGUUCUUUAUUAUUUUAAGAAAAAAUUGUAUAUAUAUUCGAAAGUACCAUAAUGACCUUCACUUAAAUGAAAAAUUCCUCCACUAUCCUCAAUCCUCAACCUACGAAUUUGAACGAUUCUUUCACUGAUUCUCUCGCGUCGCCACUCGCUGCCGGCGCAACUGCUCCGAUCGAACGAACUCUCCUCUCUUUUCUGAAGGUGAAGCGUGGGUAUGAGGAGUUCGUUCGAUUAACGAUCUUCCUGAUUCAACCGGAGACGUGCUGAUGCUUAUAAGGCUAGAGAGGAGAUCAAAGUUAUGAAGCAGUGGAGAGAGGCUGGAAACGAUGUUGAACUGAUGGAGAGUUAGAAAUUUUCUAAAGUGGCGAGCAUCUGAAGAAGGGUCAUCCAAUUGAGUAAAGGUAUGUAAUUAUAAUUUGCUUAUAGAAUAGUUGGAUUAUGUGCCUUAUGAAAUGUUUUCUUCAUUUGUUGAUGUUGUUAUUUGGUUAUAGGUUGAUUACUGCAUAUGUUGUUUAACUCAAUGAGAAAUCAAAAUAAACAACCUUUAAAGGGAUAAAAUUGGGAUAAAUAUAAGAAGAAAAUAACCAAUACUAAACAAAUAUAUCCCAGUAGCAUAAUGUUUCAAUGGUGAUCGAAAUGAACAUCAUUAUUAGUAGAUAUGAUUGGAAAGCUAGACAUUAAUACCUUAAAAAAAUUCUAGACAUUGGUGAAGAUUUCAAGAUACACAACAUUUUUGGUUGAAGUGCAAACUUUUUGUUCAUCAUCCAAAAUCAACAACUUGAGUCCAUUUCUCGACCUGACUCUAGACAUCGCAACAUACAACUGACCGUGAGUGAAUACCGGUCGAGGAAGGUAAAUUCCGACAUGGGAGAGCGACUGUCCUUGACUUUUAUUAAUUGUCAUAGCAAAACAAAGAGUCAGAGGAAAUUGUCUCCUUUGAAAUUUAAAAGGUAGACCUGGAUCAGUUGGAAUUAAAUUCUUGAUAGUUGAAAUCAUAUCAAUGUGGUUUGCCAUCGUAUUUGAAAUUGAAAGACAACACUGUAUUGCUAAAAGCUUAGAUGGUUUGAAAAGAGAUGCGUGAAUAUUGAGGCUGAGUUGAUGUGUAUUUAUGGUGUCAUUGGUUGAAUAUUUGAUUUAAUCUGAUGCAGGUAUUCACAAUAAAAAAUCAUGGGAAAUAUUAAUGAGGUCAACCAUGAAGAUUGAAGUGAAUGGAAAUAGAAUGACCAUCAAUUUAGAGCUUAUUUGAAAGAGAAUGGACAUGAUUUGUUUUUCAUUAUGCCUUUCCAUAAAUAUUAGACUUGUUUUGAUCUAAUUUGAGUUUUAUUAUUUAUUUAAUUUUAAAAUUGAAAGCAACGAAUCAUGCAUGUAUCUGCUAAGUUUGAAAAGAAACCCACCACAUGAAAUGGUGUGUUAGAA